rnacentral:rRNA from 1 species
CCUAGGGAGGCUGCAGUGGGGAAUAUUGCACAAUGGGGGAAACCCUUAUGCAGCGACGCCGCGUGAGCGAUGAAGUAUUUCGGUAUGUAAAGCUCUAUCAGCAGGGAAGAAAAUGACGGUACCUGACUAAGAAGCCCCGGCUAACUACGUGCCAGCAGCCGCGGUAAUACGUAGGGGGCAAGCGUUAUCCGGAUUUACUGGGUGUAAAGGGAGCGUAGACGGCGGUGCAAGCCAGAUGUGAAAGCCCGGGGCUCAACCCCGGGACUGCAUUUGGAACUGUGCUGCUAGAGUGUCGGAGAGGCAGGCGGAAUUCCUAGGGGAGCGGUGAAAGGCGUAGAUAUUAGGAGGAACACCAGUGGCGAAGGCGGCCUGCUGGACGAUGACUGACGUUGAGGCUCGAAAGCGUGGGGAGCAAACAGGAUUAGAUACCCCUGUAGUC